AACGUAGGUGGCGAGCGUUAUCCGGAUUUACUGGGCGUAAAGCGUGUGCAGGUGGCCUGUUAAGUGGUGUCUGAAAUCGCCCGGCUCAACCGGGCGGGGUUAUGCCAGACUGGCAGGCUAGAGGGUGGGAGAGGGAUGUGGAAUUCCGGGUGUAGUGGUGAAAUGCGUAGAGAUCCGGAGGAACCCCAGAGGCGAAGGCGGCAUCCUGGCCCACGACUGACGCUGAGGCGCGAAAGCUAGGGGAGCAAACAGG
rnacentral:rRNA from 1 species